GACGUAGGGUGCAAGCGUUGUCCGGAUUUAUUGGGCGUAAAGAGCUCGUAGGCGGCUUGUUGCGUCGACUGUGAAAACCCGCGGCUUAACCGCGGGCGUGCAGUUGAUACGGGCAGGCUAGAGUUCGGUAGGGGAGACUGGAAUUCCUGGUGUAGCGGUGAAAUGCGCAGAUAUCAGGAGGAACACCGGUGGCGAAGGCGGGUCUCUGGGCCGAUACUGACGCUGAGGAGCGAAAGCGUGGGGAGCGAACAGG
rnacentral:rRNA from 1 species